UGGGAGGGGGGCUUGCCCCCGAUUACGGUGGGUCAGUUACAGAUAAGUCGGCUGGUACACCGCCAUCGGGGGCAAGCCCCCUCCCAC
rnacentral:misc_RNA from 1 species